CUGUAAACGAUGUCGAUUUGGAGGUUGUUCCCGUGAGGAGUGGCUUCGGGAGCUAACGCGUUAAAUCGACCGCUGGGGAGUACGGCCGCAAGGUUAAAACUCAAAUGAAUUGACGGGGGCCCGCACAAGCGGUGGAGCAUGUGGUUUAAUUCGAUGCAACGCGAAGAACCUUACCUACUCUUGACAUCCAGAGAAUUUAGCAGAGAUGCUUUAGUGCCUUCGGGAACUCUGAGACAGGUGCUGCAUGGCUGUCGUCAGCUCGUGUUGUGAAAUGUUGGGUUAAGUCCCGCAACGAGCGCAACCCUUAUCCUUUGUUGCCAGCACAUUAUGGUGGGAACUCAAAGGAGACUGCCGGUGAUAAACCGGAGGAAGGUGGGGAUGACGUCAAGUCAUCAUGGCCCUUACGAGUAGGGCUACACACGUGCUACAAUGGCGUAUACAAAGAGAAGCGACCUCGCGAGAGCAAGCGGAACUCAUAAAGUACGUCGUAGUCCGGAUUGGAGUCUGCAACUCGACUCCAUGAAGUCGGAAUCGCUAGUAAUCGUAGAUCAGAAUGCUACGGUGAAUACGUUCCCGGGCCUUGUACACACCGCCCGUCACACCAUGGGAGUGGGUUGCAAAAGAAGUAGGUAGCUUAACCUUCGGGAGGGCGCUUACCACUUUGUGAUUCAUGACUGGGGUGAAGUCGUAACAAGGUAACCA
rnacentral:rRNA from 1 species